rnacentral:rRNA from 1 species
AGUGAACGCUGGCGGUAGGCCUAACACAUGCAAGUCGAACGGCAGCACAGUAAGAGCUUGCUCUUACGGGUGGCGAGUGGCGGACGGGUGAGGAAUACAUCGGAAUCUACUUUUUCGUGGGGGAUAACGUAGGGAAACUUACGCUAAUACCGCAUACGACCUACGGGUGAAAGCAGGGGAUCUUCGUACCUUGCGCGAUUGAAUGAGCCGAUGUCGGAUUAGCUAGUUGGCGGGGUAAAGGCCCACCAAGGCGACGAUCCGUAGCUGGUCUGAGAGGAUGAUAAGCCACACUGGAACUGAGACACGGUCCAGACUCCUACGGGAGGCAGCAGUGGGGAAUAUUGGACAAUGGGAGCAAGCAUGAUCCAGCCAUACCGCGUGGGUGAAGAAGGCAUUCGGGUUGUAAAGCCCUUUUGUUGGGAAAGAAAAGCAGCAGGUUAAUACCCCGCUGUUCUGACGGUACCCAAAGAAUAAGCACCGGCUAACUUCGUG